AAAAGUGCUUAUAGUGCAGGUAGCAUAUUGGCACCUACUGCAGUAUUGGCACUUCAGC
rnacentral:pre_miRNA from 1 species